AAAAUAGAAUGGCUAUGAAUAUGAUUCUAGCAGAAAAGGUGGGUGUAUGUAAAAUCCUCCCUGAAACCAUGACAUGCUGUACAUUCAUUCCGGAUAAUACUGGGCCCAAUGGUAAAGUAACUAUGGCAAUAGAGAAAUUAGACAGCCUCUCAGAUGAAUUAAAGAAGAAUUCAGGGAUCACUAAUGUAUGGGACAGAUGGUUUGGAUGGAUUAAUGGUUGACAGAGAACCCUAUUCCAAGUUGGGACAGCAGUCCACACAAUGAUCAUCAUCUUCCUGUUCCUAACUUGUUGUGCAUUACCUUGCAUACAAAAGUAUUUACAGAAGACAGUAGGGAAGACUGUAGACAACGUAACCCCUACUUUCUUACAUCAAGACGUCACUGACCUAGAAUGUGACACACCACAUACACCCCUUCAGCCCCCCAGUUCAGACAGACAACUGCAUUUUUGUAGGGAUAGCAUAGGGAAAGCGUCUGUCUCUACAGGCGAGUCUCACGUGCGGAGAUGUGGUGGACUAGCCGCCGCGGGUUACCCAUGGAGUGAAGUGUUCGAUGCUUGUUAAGACAGAUGAGCUGUAGGCAGCUAGGGACAUAUUAGGGACAGUAGCAGUUGUAAUGGUAAAUAGCCAUUUUAAGGGGGGACUGUUGUGGGAAUUAGAUAUUGACAUAUUUUUUAGCUAGUAAAAUGCCUAUUUACUCCAUUAAGUUAUACUCAGUAUUAUUCAAUAAAUUACUAAACUGACCACUAGAUGCCACUCAGGAGUACCCCACCGAUCGACCAAACACUCUCAUUUUCAAGAUAGUGCUGGAAUCCGGGGGAGAACUUCAUGACGACAGUAAUGACAUAAGAUGGCACACCCAGUAGGACGUGCUUUGAAUAAAACACUUAACCAAUUAUUGAUGUAUUAUUUCAUGUUAUCGCUGACAGUGCUUAUGAUGUAAUUGUGCUUUAUCAGGGUCGUCGUCCCUGAAUAAACAUUCCAGAGUAUUUCAUCA